rnacentral:rRNA from 1 species
UGAGGAAUAUUGCACAAUGGGCGCAAGCCUGAUGCAGCGACGCCGCGUGUGGGAUGAAGGGGCUACGCCUCGUAAACCACUGUAGCCCGGGACGAAAAACGCCUUAGAGGCGUUAGUCGGUACCGGGAAAGUAAGGGUCGGCUAACUACGUGCCAGCAGCCGCGGUAAUACGUAGGACCCAAGCGUUGUCCGGAUUUACUGGGUGUAAAGGGUGCGCAGGCGGAUGGGUAAGUCAGGGGUGAAAGUCUGCAGCUUAACUGUAGAUUUUCCUUGGAUACUGCUCAUCUUGAGUGUGGGAGAGGUUGAUGGAAUUCCAGGUGUAGCAGUGAAAUGCGUAGAUAUCUGGAAGAACACCAGUGGCGAAGGCGGUCAACUAGCCCAUAACUGACGCUCAUGCACGAAAGCGUGGGGAGCAAACA